UAACAGCUGUGGUGGAUAGCGGGGAGGAUACAACUAUAAUGUUUAGUAAUAGUAACAGCUGUGGUGGAUAGUGGGGAGGAUAAAACUAAAACUCUUCUAAGCUUCGAACAGUUUGAUGUCAUCCUUCCCAGGCAAAGGUUGGAAUCUUUUGGAAUUGCAAAUAUUCAGGAGAGAGGUCCAUACUUUAACGAUGUUGGAAACUUCGUUGAAUGUAACUUCUCAGAGAAAGAAAUAGUAGAGUUCCUGUCCUCAGUUCAUCUUCAUCUUUUUUCUGAAGAUAUUAAUGAUAUUUCUAAG